rnacentral:rRNA from 1 species
AGUGAACGCUGGCGGCGUGCUUAACACAUGCAAGUCGAACGAGAACGGAAUAUAGCUUGCUAUAUUUGUCAGCUAAGUGGCGCACGGGUGAGUAAUGUAUAGAUAACCAGCCCUUAAGAAAGGAAUAACAGUUGGAAACGACUGCUAAUGCCCUAUAUGCCUUUAAUAAAUAAGUAUGCAAGGGAAACGCUUUAGUGCUUAAGGAUGGGUCUGUAUGGUAUCAGCUUGUUGGUGAGGUAAUGGCUCACCAAGGCUAUGACGCCUAACUGGUUUGAGAGGAUGAUCAGUCACACUGGAACUGAGACACGGUCCAGGCUCCUACGGGAGGCAGCAGUGGGGAAUAUUGCACAAUGGACGAAAGUCUGAUGCAGCAACGCCGCGUGGAGGAUGACACAUUUCGGUGCGUAAACUCCUUUUAUAUAGGAAGAUAAUGACGGUACCAUAUGAAUAAGCACCGGCUAACUCCGUGCCAGCCGCCGCCGUAA